GAUGAAGAACGUAGCGAAAUGCGAUAAGUAAUGUGAAUUGCAGAAUUUAGUGAAUCAUCGAAUCUUUGAACGCACAUUGCGCCCGCCAGUAUUCUGGCGGGCAUGCCUGUUCGAGCGUCAUUUCAACCAUCAAGCCCCAGGCUUGUGUUGGGGACCUGCGGCUGCCGCAGGCCCUGAAAACCAGUGGCGGGCUCGCUGUCACACCGGGCGUAGUAGAUUUUAUCUCGCUCUGGGCGUGCUGCGGGUUCCGGCCGUUAAAAAACCCUUUUAACCCAAGGUUGACCUCGGAUCAGGUAGGAAUACCCGCUGAACUUAAGCAUAUCAAUAAGCGGAGGA
rnacentral:misc_RNA from 1 species